rnacentral:rRNA from 1 species
GACGAACGCUGGCGGCGUGCUUAACACAUGCAAGUCGAACGGAAAGGCCCUGCUUUUGUGGGGUGCUCGAGUGGCGAACGGGUGAGUAACACGUGAGUAACCUGCCCUUGACUUUGGGAUGACUUCAGGAAACUGGGGCUAAUACCGGAUAGGAGCUCCUGCUGCAUGGUGGGGGUUGGAAAGUUUCGGCGGUUGGGGAUGGACUCGCGGCUUAUCAGCUUGUUGGUGGGGUAGUGGCUUACCAAGGCUUUGACGGGUGGCCGGCCUGAGAGGGUGACCGGCCACAUUGGGACUGAGAUACGGCCCAGACUCCUACGGGAGGCAGCAGUGGGGAAUAUUGCACAAUGGGCGGAAGCCUGAUGCAGCAACGCCGCGUGCGGGAUGACGGCCUUCGGGUUGUAAACCGCUUUCGCCUGUGACGAAGCGUGAGUGACGGUAAUGGGUAAAGAAGCACCGGCUAACUACGUG